rnacentral:lncRNA from 1 species
AAGGAUCGAGAGAGGUUAUUGCAGGAGGUGCAAGAGAGGUUCUAGGAGGAGCAAGAGAGGUUGACUAAGAAGGAGUGAGAGAAGUUGAUUGAGAAAACGUGGGAGAAGUGUACCUAUAAUGUGAUUGAGGUAAGUACAAGUUUGGUUUAAAAAUUUUGUGUUGUAUGUUGUUAUUUUUCUUUGUUUAUUUAAAUUUAUGUAUUAUGUUGUGCUUGUUUUUAU